rnacentral:tRNA from 1 species
GGUAACGUAUCCAAGUCUGGUCAAAGGAAGGCGACUUAAGAUCGUCCGCUAUACGCUUCGCAGGUUCGAAUCCUGUCGUUACCA